rnacentral:rRNA from 1 species
GUGGUUUAAUUCGAUGCAACGCGAAAACCUUACCACCUUUGACAUGUACGGAAUCCUCUAGAGAUAGAGGAGUGCUCGAAAGAGAGCCGUAACACAGGUGCUGCAUGGCUGUCGUCAGCUCGUGUCGUGAGAUGUUGGGUUAAGUCCCGCAACGAGCGCAACCCUUGUCAUUAGUUGCUACGAAAGGGCACUCUAAUGAGACUGCCGGUGACAAACCGGAGGAAGUGGGGAUGACGUCAAGUCCUCAUGGCCCUUAUAGGUGGGGCUACACACGUCAUACAAUGGCUGGUACAAAGGGUUGCCAACCCGCGAGGGGGAGCCAAUCCCAUAAAGCCAGUCGUAGUCCGGAUCGCAGUCUGCAACUCGACUGCGUGAAGUCGGAAUCGCUAGUAAUCGUGGAUCAGCAUGUCACGGUGAAUACGUUCCCGGGUCUU